GGGGGACUCUCUCACCCUAGGUUCCUCCUGAUUUCUGGUCACCUUGGCCCAGAGCGGCUUGUAGUGGGGCUCCCAGCCAGAGACUGAGGUGAGGCCACAGCCGUGAAGACACCACAUACUGGCCGUUGGACCAGUGAUCGGGCUUCCCCAGUGGAUCAGAUGGUAAAGAAUCUGCCUGCAAUGAAGGAGACCUGGGUUCAAUCCCCGAGUCAGGAAGAUCCCCUGGAGAAGGAAAUGGCAACCCACUCCAGUGUUCUUGCCUGGAAAAUCCCAUGGACAAGAGAAGCCUAGCGGGCUGCAGUCCACCAGGUCACAAAGAGUUGGACAUGGCUGAGUGGCUGAAUACACAUAGAGACUAGUGAUGAUUGACAAGGCCCUGGCCCUUUGACUUUGCUGAAAAAUAAUUCUAACAAAGAUGGAAGAUGAUGAAACAAGUGAAGUAUUUAUUAGAAGGGAAAAAAAGAGUACUGUAUAUGUGGAUAGACACACAGGCAGACUCAGUUGCAGGGUUGCACCCUCAUGGCAGUUUAAAUCACUUACAUGGAGCAUUUCUUCCAGUUUUCCUUUGGCUAAUCAUUUUGAUUUGCCUGGUUCCUAUUUGGUGUAUCUCAGGGCCCUCCCAUGUGCAUGCAUGCAUCUCUUCGCCAAGAUGGAUUCUGCUGAAGAAGCCUGUGGGUAGCUUGGCAUCAGCAUCACUCCCCCUUUGACCUCAAAGAACCCUUUCUGCGCAUGUGUAGUCAGGGAGGUCUCUUGACAUUGAGAGUGAGAAAUAAGUGAUCUGUUAUCUUCUGUCUGGGCAGGGCCCAGCCUCCUCUCUCAAUUGUCCUGCCAUUCUCAUCUUGAAGUAUCGGUCCACAGGGGACGAAUCUCCAGUUGCUUUCCCCUGGGUGCAGGGGCAUGUACCUCCUGCUUCACUGCUUGCCUCUGGACUCUGAGAAGGAAGGAAGUCCUCUCUCCAGGCAGAACAGCAAGUGGGGUGGAGGGUGUGUGUGGAGCGAGCGGGACGGGGUAAUGACACACAAAGUGUCUCCCAGCCCCCUCUGAUCUGGGAGGCAAGAAGCUGGUUCAUUCAUCCUCGCCUGGGCAUUUGACACAAGGAUAUUAGUUAUCCUUCCAGGGGAGUUUUCACUUGAGAAGUCUGGAGAGAGCAAUGCAUUAUCCAAAGGAAUAUUUUACUCUAGAAAAAUUUCAGAUAUCCACAGAGUAUCUUUUUUGGCCAGGUGCUCCGAGCCAAAGAAACAGCUCCUCACCCCUACCCAAAAGAAGAAAAGGUAAAUAAUCACCCACCCAUUUCCCUUCUCACAUGAGGGAGGGAUGUUAGCAGUCUGUGGCCCGUGGUGUUCUGGGUGCUAGGAUCGUAGCCAGCACUUAUUAAGAGCUAGGAAUACCACUUGCAUGCCAAGUGAUAUUAUAUUGUCUCAUUAAAUUGUCAGAGCCAUGGGCUUGCUUAGUGGUCUUGUGGCUAAAACUCCGCACUCCCAAUACAGGGGGACUGGGUUCGAUCUCUGGUCAGGGAACUAGGUCCCACCUGCUGCAACUGAGUUCACAUGCCACAACUAAGACCCGGUGCAGUCAAAUAAAUAUUUAAAAAAAAAUAGAGCCACUCCAUGGAAUCAUAACUGUUGGGAGCAGGGAAUGGAGGAUAAGGGUGAAGGUAAAUGACCUGUGUUACCUACUUGUGUCUGGCAGAACUGGAUGCAAACUCCUCAUCUAUUUGACCCUAAAGACCAGCUUGGCUCCUAGUUAACAGUUAGGCUGGCUGCAUUGCCUUGCAGUUCUUAAUUAUGACCACCAGAGGCGCCACUGCUCCACACAUGAAUGCUUUCAUAAACGGGCUCAAGAAAAUGCUGCUGCUGCUGCUAAGUCACUUCAGUCGUGUCUCUGUGCAACCCCAUAGACGGCAGCCCACCAGGCUCCUCCGUCCAUGCGAUUUUCCAGGCAAGAGUACUGGAGUGGGGUGCCAUUGCCUUCUCCCCAAAGAGCGCUGCUUUUAUUAAACAACAACAACAACAAACCAUCACCAUUGCCGUUCUGUGAUUCACUUUAACAAUAAAAGCUGCUUUAAAUUAAAUACUAUGUGCCAGGCUUUGCCCAAGCGCUUUACAU
ensembl:lncRNA